rnacentral:sRNA from 1 species
GCAACUGUGCUGUGGCUGCUCUCGGGGACCCGGCCUCAGCUCUCAGCAAUAUGGUGGCUGCCCUGAGAGAAGGGGGCUUCCUGCUGCUGCACACACUGCUCCGGGGGCACCCCCUCGGGGACACCGUGGCCUUCCUCACCUCCGCCGAGCCACAGUACGGCCAGGGCAUCCUGAGCCAGGUGCGGCCGCCGGGCAGGGGGACGGGGUGGGGGCCGGAUGAGGGCCAGGCCGGCAGGGUGCUGACCACCACCCCCACAGGACGCAUGGGAGAGCCUCUUCUCCAGGGUGUCGCUGCGCCUGGUGGGCCUGAAGAAGUCCUUCUACGGCUCCACGCUCUUCCUGUGCCGCCGGCCCGCCCCGCAGGACAGCCCCAUCUUCCUGCCGGUGGACGACACCAGCUUCCGCUGGGUGGAGUCUCUGAAGGUCAGGCCCCGCCCCACCUCCAGGCCCCGCCCCACCUCCCAACUUGCUGAGUGUGGCCUGACCCUCCCCAACCCGCCGUA